AGCUUUCUGCAGAGGCAAUAUCAAAACCAGUGAGUUCAUCUGAGGCAUGAUUUUUGUCAAUUGAAAACUUUCCCACUCCUCUGUCUUUGCCAAAUGGUCAAAUGAUAGUGAUCGACUCCCUUGCUAUAGA
ensembl:snRNA U4 U4 spliceosomal RNA